UAACUGUUCGGGAUAGUCUCUCACGGUAGAGCUUGAGAAUAAUCAAAUUGCUCACCGGAGACAUUAUUCCGCAUAGGUAUGGUACAUUCCC
rnacentral:pre_miRNA from 1 species